GAAAUGCGAUACGUAGUGUGAAUUGCAGAAUUCAGUGAAUCAUCGAAUCUUUGAACGCACAUUGCGCCCCUUGGUAUUCCAUGGGGCAUGCCUGUUCGAGCGUCAUUUGUACCCUCAAGCUCUGCUUGGUGUUGGGUGUUUGUCCCGUCUCCGCGCGUGGACUCGCCCCAAAGUGAUUGGCAGCCGGCGUACUGGUCUCGGAGCGCAGCACAUGUCGCGCAAACGAGUGCCUUGGUACGGCGGCGUCCAUAAGCCCCUCUCUCACGCUCUUGACCUCGGAUCAGGUAGGGAUACCCGCUGAACUUAAGC
rnacentral:misc_RNA from 1 species